GAGGGUAUAGCUCAGCGGUAGAGUGUGUGCUUUGUAUGCAUGAGGUCCUGGGUUCAAUCCCCAGCACCUCCC
rnacentral:tRNA from 1 species